UCACAUCCUGGGGCUGUAGCCGGUCCCAAGGGUAUGGCUGUUCGCCAUUUAAAGUGGUACGCGAGCUGGGUUCAGAACGUCGUGAGACAGUUCGGUCCCUAUCUGUCGUGGGCGUUGGAGAUUUGAGGGGGGCUGCUCCUAGUACGAGAGGACCGGAGUGGACGUUCCGCUGGUGUUCGGGUUGUCAUGCCCAUGGCAUUGCCCGGUAGCUACGAACGGAAGUGAUAACCGCUGAAAGCAUCUAAGCGGGAAGCACGCCCCAAGAUGAGAUCUCCCGAGAGCUUGACUCUCCUAAAGGCACCAUCAAGACUAGGUGGUUGAUAGGCACGGUGUGGAAGUGCAGCAAUGCAUUGAGCUUACGUGUACUAAUGAGCCGUGAGGCUUGACCAUAUAACCCCAAG
rnacentral:rRNA from 1 species